rnacentral:rRNA from 1 species
CCUACGGGGGGCAGCAGUGGGGAAUAUUGGACAAUGGGCGAAAGCCUGAUCCAGCCAUGCCGCGUGUGUGAAGAAGGCCUUCGGGUUGUAAAGCACUUUCAGUGGGGAAGAAAGCCUUGGGGCUAAUACCCUCGAGGAAGGACAUCACCCACAGAAGAAGCACCGGCUAACUCCGUGCUAGCAGCCGCGGUAAUACGGAGGGUGCGAGCGUUAAUCGGAAUUACUGGGCGUAAAGCGCGCGUAGGCGGUCUGAUAAGCCGGUUGUGAAAGCCCCGGGCUCAACCUGGGAACGGCAUCCGGAACUGUCAGGCUAGAGUGCAGGAGAGGAAGGUAGAAUUCCCGGUGUAGCGGUGAAAUGCGUAGAGAUCGGGAGGAAUACCAGUGGCGAAGGCGGCCUUCUGGACUGACACUGACGCUGAGGUGCGAAAGCGUGGGUAGCAAACAGGAUUAGAUACCCGAGUAGUC